CAGGCUUUGACAUCUGAAUCACGUGAAAGAGCAAGAAUGAACAAGAGAAGAAAACACAGUCAAAAAAUGUAUCCAGAUGUAAACCAAAAAGAGACUACCAUUAUACAUCUCAGCCAUAGAUGAGCAGCACCUUUUUGGCGUUUCCCUUGGGAUGUUACUGCAGUCUUCCUUCGCCAGAUUGGGCAUAUGUCCAUUUAAGGGGCCAAGAGGGAAGGGACCACUAGGGAUAGAGAACCGGUCUACCUCAGGAGGACUACAAGUCAUAUAGUGACAAUUCUCAGUCUGAUAAAUUACUAAAGAACUGUGACAGUGACAAGUUACCAGGUGCUUAUUAGCUUCUUAAGUGUAUAUAAAUUACUGUAUCCCGAGCCUGUAUGACCUCAAGUGUCUUCUACUAUAUUGGAUUUGCAACAUCAUAAAGAGCAAUCUGUUAUCCAUAAAUCCAGGCUUUUGAUAUAUUUAUUUCCCAGGGCUUUGAUAGCUGCUUUAUUGAAGUAGUGGUUAGUGGGGACGGUCAUCUAACUACAGGGUUGCUACACUCCAGCCACUGGACACUCAAACCCUCAUCAUCUAAUACUUAUCCUAAUCACAAUCCUCCUUCUGGCAUCACAAACCUGACAAUCUUGCCAGCUAAGUAUCCAUUACUGUCCAUACCCCUUACCAGAGAAGCAAAGGAAGGGAGGCUCCAAGAUGCAGAGACAACGGCCGGAACAGCUGGAAGAACACCAUUGGCUUUUACCUUCUUAAAUGGGCCUUCUUCAGUCUUGGCUAAAGCAAAACAAUGGCAAGGAAAAGAGUGAGUAGAAGACCGGAUAUGACAUUACAUAUAACAGCACAGUGAUUCAGUGGUUGGCACUGCUGCCCAGCAUCACUGGGGUCCUGCGUUUAAAACCCAAGAAGUAGAACUUCUGAAAUGAGUUUGUAUAUUCUCCCUGUGUUUGUGUGGGUUUCCUCCAGGUUAGCAGUCCAAAAACAUACUGAUAGGUGAAUUUAGAUUGUAAGACCCAGUGGGGACAGGGAAUCUAAUUGAGUGUACUGCACUGC